CUACGGGGGGCUCCAGUGAGGAAUAUUGCACAAUGGGGGGAACCCUGAUGCAGCAACGCCGCGUGGAGGAUGACGCAUUUCGGUGUGUAAACUCCUUUUAUAUGUCAAGAAAAUGACGGUAGCAUAUGAAUAAGCACCGGCUAACUCCGUGCCAGCAGCCGCGGUAAUACGGAGGGUGCAAGCGUUACUCGGAAUCACUGGGCGUAAAGGACGCGUAGGCGGGUUGGAAAGUCAGGUGUGAAAUCCUACAGCUUAACUGUAGAACUGCACUUGAAACUUCUAAUCUAGAGUAUGGGAGGGGGAGAUGGAAUUAGGGGUGUAGAGGUAAAAUCCGUAGAUAUCACUAGGAAUACCUAAAGCGAAGGCGAUCUCCUGGAACAUUACUGACGCUAAGGCGUGAAAGCGUGGGGAGCAAACAGGAUUAGAUACCGUGUAGUC
rnacentral:rRNA from 1 species